rnacentral:lncRNA from 1 species
GUAUCCAUAUCUGAUUGACACCACUUAUUGCAUAUGCCGUUUUGAAAUAUUUCUGAAGUCCUUCUUUGACUGCAGUGAGUAUGGCAGUAAGAACUUUACACUGCGGAUUUUAUUAUUAGCUUGAUACCAAUAUUUGUGGAAUUUAUAAACAACUUUAAGUAAUCUGUUUGUCGAUAAUUUGUUCUGAAAUGGUUUCAAGAGCUUUGCAAACUGUCUGUAUUGGAUACAUCUCACUAAUGACUAUGACACUUUGAAAUGUUGUUGUCAACAUUACCUUUUAUUUCUUCACGAUUAUUCGUUAUUGAUUAGUACCACUGGUUUAACGGUUUGUUUACAUUCAGCAAUUAUGAGUCUAAACCUUCUGAUAUAACAACUAAGGAAUCAAGCUUGAAAAUGAACAUUUUCACUUUUAUCAAUCUGGAGUUAUCGUCCGUGAUCAAUGGUAAAUGACAAGUGUUUUCUGUGAAGAACUGAGAACGCAUGAUUACAUCAUUCAGCUAAAAUGUAUCAAUCAGUAAAGUCAGAGACAAUCUUUAGAAAUUAAGUUAUUACAAGAUUCUUUGUUUACUAUAUAGGAGUUGAAAAUGGCCGAAGGGACGGAACUUCUUUUGACUCUAAGAAGUAUUCUUUUCUAUUUGAAUUUAUAUCGAGCAGCAAUACACUUUUGUAUAAAAUAGAAUGAUGCUUACAGGUGGACCAUGCAUACAACAUAUACCAUUUUGAUAGCGUUGAGAAAUUUGUAGUAACUGCACAAGGAACAUAUCUGAUAUAAUCUGUUUAA